AGAAUCCUCUCCAAAGGUUCUUAACUAUAUUCCUCCAGGAGGUCUCCUUCUCAAGGGAAACAAACAUCAUCUCCAAAGGUUCUUAACUAUAUUCCUCCAGGAGGCCUCACGGGAAAGAAUCCUCUCCAAAGGUUCUUAACUAUAUUCCUCCAGGAGGUCUCCUUUUCAAGGGAAACAAACAUCCUCUCCAAAGGUUCUUAACUAUAUUCCUCCAGGAGGCUUCACGGGAAAGAAUCCUCUCCAAAGGUUCUUAACUAUAUUCCUCCAGGAGGCCUCCUUCUCAAGGGAAACAAACAUCAUCUCCAAAGGUUCUUAACUAUAUUCCUCCAGGAGGCCUCACGGGAAAGAAUCCUCUCCAAAGGUUCUUAACUAUAUUCCUCCAGGAGGUCUCCUUUUCAAGGGAAACAAACAUCCUCUCCAAAGGUUCUUAACUAUAUUCCUCCAGGAGGCUUCACGGGAAAGAAUCCUCUCCAAAGGUUCUUAACUAUAUUCCUCCAGGAGGCCUCCUUCUCAAGGGAAACAAACAUCAUCUCCAAAGGUUCUUAACUAUAUUCCUCCAGGAGGUCUCCUUCUCAAGGGAAACAAACAUCCUCUCCAAAGGUUCUUAACUAUAUUCCUCCAGGAGGCUUCACGGGAAAGAAUCCUCUCCAAAGGUUCUUAACUAUAUUCCUCCAGGAGGCCUCCUUCUCAAGGGAAACAAACAUCAUCUCCAAAGGUUCUUAACUAUAUUCCUCCAGGAGGUCUCCUUCUCAAGGGAAACAAACAUCAUCUCCAAAGGUUCUUAACUAUAUUCCUCCAGGAGGUCUCCUUCUCAAGGGAAACAAACAUCCUCUCCAAAGGUUCUUAACUAUAUUCCUCCAGGAGGUCUCCUUCUCAAGGGAAACAAACAUCAUCUCCAAAGGUUCUUAACUAUAUUCCUCCAGGAGGCCUCACGGGAAAGAAUCCUCUCCAAAGGUUCUUAACUAUAUUCCUCCAGGAGGUCUCCUUUUCAAGGGAAACAAACAUCCUCUCCAAAGGUUCUUAACUAUAUUCCUCCAGGAGGCUUCACGGGAAAGAAUCCUCUCCAAAGGUUCUUAACUAUAUUCCUCCAGGAGGCCUCCUUCUCAAGGGAAACAAACAUCAUCUCCAAAGGUUCUUAACUAUAUUCCUCCAGGAGGCUUCACGGGAAAGAAUCCUCUCCAAAGGUUCUUAACUAUAUUCCUCC